AUUGAACGCUGGCGGCAGGCUUAACACAUGCAAGUCGAGCGGAGAGAGGUAGCUUGCUACUGAUCUUAGCGGCGGACGGGUGAGUAAUGCUUAGGAAUCUGCCUAUUAGUGGGGGACAACAUUUCGAAAGGAAUGCUAAUACCGCAUACGUCCUACGGGAGAAAGCAGGGGAUCUUCGGACCUUGCGCUAAUAGAUGAGCCUAAGUCGGAUUAGCUAGUUGGUGGGGUAAAGGCCUACCAAGGCGACGAUCUGUAGCGGGUCUGAGAGGAUGAUCUGCCACACUGGGACUGAGACACGGCCCAGACUCCUACGGGAGGCAGCAGUGGGGAAUAUUGGACAAUGGGCGAAAGCCUGAUCCAGCCAUGCCGCGUGUGUGAAGAAGGUCUUCGGAUUGUAAAGCACUUUAAGUCGGGAGGAAGGGCUGUAGGCUAAUACCUUGCAGUUUUGACGUUACCGACAGAAUAAGCACCGGCUAACUUCGUGCCAGCCGCCGCCGUAAGAC
rnacentral:rRNA from 1 species